UGGGGAAUUUUGGACAAUGGGGCAACCCUGAUCCAGCAAUGCCGCGUGUGUGAAGAAGGCCUUCGGGUUGUAAAGCACUUUUGUCCGGAAAGAAAACGCCGUGGUUAAUACCCGUGGCGGAUGACGGUACCGGAAGAAUAAGCACCGGCUAACUACGUGCCAGCAGCCGCGGUAAUACGUAGGGUGCAAGCGUUAAUCGGAAUUACUGGGCGUAAAGCGUGCGCAGGCGGUCCGCUAAGACAGAUGUGAAAUCCCCGGGCUUAACCUGGGAACUGCAUUUGUGACUGGCGGGCUAGAGUAUGGCAGAGGGGGGUAGAAUUCCACGUGUAGCAGUGAAAUGCGUAGAGAUGUGGAGGGAUACCGAUGGCGAAGGCAGCCCCCUGGGCCAAUACUGACGCUCAUGCACGAAAGCGUGGGGGAGCAAACAGGAUUCAGAUACCCUGGUAGUCCACGCCCU
rnacentral:rRNA from 1 species